GGGUCAGUAGGUUGGUCGUGCCACCGGUACGUACUGGUCUCACUGAUUCCUCCUUCCUGAAGAACCGUAAUGCCAUUAAUCUGGUGUUGCGGGGAAACAGGACUGUUACUUUGAAAAAAUUAGAGUGUUUAAAGCAAGCUAACGCUUGAAUACAUUAGCAUGGAAUAAUGCAAUAGGACGAUCGAUCCUAUUUUGUUGGUUUCUAGGAUUGACGUA
rnacentral:rRNA from 1 species